GAUGAACGCUGGCGGCGUGCCUAAUACAUGCAAGUAGAACGCUGAAGGAGGAGCUUGCUCUUCUGGAUGAGUUGCGAACGGGUGAGUAACGCGUAGGUAACCUGCCUGGUAGCGGGGGAUAACUAUUGGAAACGAUAGCUAAUACCGCAUGACAACAGUUAUUGCAUGAUAACUGUUUAAAAGGGGCAACUGCUCCACUACCAGAUGGACCUGCGUUGUAUUAGCUAGUUGGUGAGGUAACGGCUCACCAAGGCGACGAUACAUAGCCGACCUGAGAGGGGGAUCGGCCACCCUGGGACUGAGACACGGCCCAGACUCCUACGGGAGGCAGCAGUAGGGAAUCUUCGGCAAUGGACGGAAGUCUGACCGAGCAACGCCGCGUGAGUGAAGAAGGUUUUCGGAUCGUAAAGCUCUGUUGUAAGAGAAGAACGAGUGUGAGAGUGGAAAGUUCACACUGUGACGGUAUCUUACCAGAAAGGGACGGCUAACUACGUG
rnacentral:rRNA from 1 species